UACGGAGGGUGCAACCGUUAUCCGGAUUCACUGGGUUUAAAGGGAGCGUAGGUGGGUUGGUAAGUCAGUGGUGAAAUCCCCGAGCUUAACUUGGGAACUGCCAUUGAUACUAUCAGUCUUGAAUACUGUGGAGGUUAGCGGAAUAUGUCAUGUAGCGGUGAAAUGCUUAGAUAUGACAUAGAACACCAAUUGCGAAGGCAGCUGGCUACACAAUUAUUGACACUGAGGCUCGAAAGCGUGGGGAUCAAACAGG
rnacentral:rRNA from 1 species